rnacentral:rRNA from 1 species
CCACCUCUUCCCAUCCCGAACAGAGAAGUUAAGCCCGGCUACGCCGAUGGUACUGCCCACAAGGUGGGAGAGUAGGUAGCCGCCGUCU